GGUAAGUGUAUGGGGAUCUGCCUGACUGCGGGGGAUAACUACUGGAAACGGGGGCUAAUACCGCAUAAUGUCUGCGGACCAAAGCGGGGGACCUCCGGGCCUCUUGCCAUCGGAUGUGCCCAGAUGGGAUUAGCUAGUAGGUGGGGUAACGGCUCACCUAGGCGACGAUCCCUAGCUGGUCUGAGAGGAUGACCAGCCACACUGGAACUGAGACACGGUCCAG
rnacentral:rRNA from 1 species